rnacentral:rRNA from 1 species
GAACGCUGGCGGCGUGCCUAAUACAUGCAAGUCGAGCGGACAGAUGGGAGCUUGCUCCCUGAUGUUAGCGGCGGACGGGUGAGUAACACGUGGGUAACCUGCCUGUAAGACUGGGAUAACUCCGGGAAACCGGGGCUAAUACCGGAUGGUUGUUUGAACCGCAUGGUUCAAACAUAAAAGGUGGCUUCGGCUACCACUUACAGAUGGACCCGCGGCGCAUUAGCUAGUUGGUGAGGUAACGGCUCACCAAGGCGACGAUGCGUAGCCGACCUGAGAGGGUGAUCGGCCACACUGGGACUGAGACACGGCCCAGACUCCUACGGGAGGCAGCAGUAGGGAAUCUUCCGCAAUGGACGAAAGUCUGACGGAGCAACGCCGCGUGAGUGAUGAAGGUUUUCGGAUCGUAAAGCUCUGUUGUUAGGGAAGAACAAGUGCCGUUCGAAUAGGGCGGUACCUUGGCGGUACCUAACCAGAAAGCCACGGCUAACUACGUGCCAGCAGCCGCGGUAAUACGUAGGUGGCAAGCGUUGUCCGGAAUUAUUGGGCGUAAAGGGCUCGCAGGCGGUUUCUUAAGUCUGAUGUGAAAGCCCCCGGCUCAACCGGGGAGGGUCAUUGGAAACUGGGGAACUUGAGUGCAGAAGAGGAGAGUGGAAUACCACGUGUAGCGGUGAAAUGCGUAGAGAUGUGGAGGAACACCAGUGGCGAAGGCGACUCUCUGGUCUGUAACUGACGCUGAGGAGCGAAAGCGUGGGGAGCGAACAGGAUUAGAUACCCUGGUAGUCCACGCCGUAAACGAUGAGUGCUAAGUGUUAGGGGGUUUCCGCCCCUUAGUGCUGCAGCUAACGCAUUAAGCACUCCGCCUGGGGAGUACGGUCGCAAGACUGAAACUCAAGGGAAUUGACGGGGGCCCGCACAAGCGGUGGAGCAUGUGGUUUAAUUCGAAGCAACGCGAAGAACCUUACCAGGUCUUGACAUCCUCUGACAAUCCUAGAGAUAGGACGUCCCCUUCGGGGGCAGAGUGACAGGUGGUGCAUGGUUGUCGUCAGCUCGUGUCGUGAGAUGUUGGGUUAAGUCCCGCAACGAGCGCAACCCUUGAUCUUAGUUGCCAGCAUUCAGUUGGGCACUCUAAGGUGACUGCCGGUGACAAACCGGAGGAAGGUGGGGAUGACGUCAAAUCAUCAUGCCCCUUAUGACCUGGGCUACACACGUGCUACAAUGGACAGAACAAAGGGCAGCGAAACCGCGAGGUUAAGCCAAUCCCACAAAUCUGUUCUCAGUUCGGAUCGCAGUCUGCAACUCGACUGCGUGAAGCUGGAAUCGCUAGU